CACGUAGGGUGCGAGCGUUGUCCGGAAUUAUUGGGCGUAAAGAGCUCGUAGGCGGUGUGUCGCGUCGGCCGUGAAAACCUGCAGCUUAACUGUGGGCUUGCGGUCGAUACGGGCAUCACUGGAGUUCGGCAGGGGAGACUGGAAUUCCUGGUGUAGCGGUGAAAUGCGCAGAUAUCAGGAGGAACACCGGUGGCGAAGGCGGGUCUCUGGGCAGUAACUGACGCUGAGGAGCGAAAGCGUGGGGAGCGAACAGGA
rnacentral:rRNA from 1 species